rnacentral:rRNA from 1 species
GAUGAACGCUGGCGGCGUGCCUAAUACAUGCAAGUCGAGCGAACGGACGAGAAGCUUGCUUCUCUGAUGUUAGCGGCGGACGGGUGAGUAACACGUGGAUAACCUACCUAUAAGACUGGGAUAACUUCGGGAAACCGGAGCUAAUACCGGAUAAUAUUUUGAACCGCAUGGUUCAAAAGUGAAAGACGGUCUUGCUGUCACUUAUAGAUGGAUCCGCGCUGCAUUAGCUAGUUGGUAAGGUAACGGCUUACCAAGGCAACGAUGCCUAGCCGACCUGAGAGGGUGAUCGGCCCCACUGGAGCUGAGACACGCUCCAGACUCCUACGGGAGGCCGCAGUAGGGAAUCUUCCGCAAUGGGCGAAAGCCUGACGGAGCAACGCCGCGUGAGUGAUGAAGGUCUUCGGAUCGUAAAACUCUGUUAUUAGGGAAGAACAUAUGUGUAAGUAACUGUGCACAUCUUGACGGUACCUAAUCAGAAAGCCCCGGCUAACUACGUG